UACAGAGACCCCAAACAUUGUCCGGAAUCAUUGGGCGUAAAGCGCACGUAGGCGGCCCUGUAAGUCGAAUGUGAAAUCCCGAGGCUCAACCUCGGAACUGCAUUCGGUACUGCAGGGCUUGAGGAAGGUAGAGGAGAGUGGAAUUCCCGGUGUAGCGGUGGAAUGCGCAGAUAUCGGGAGGAACACCAGCGGCGAAGACGGCUCUCUGGGCCUUACCUGACGCUGAGGUGCGAAAGCGUGGGGAGCGAACAGG
rnacentral:misc_RNA from 1 species